rnacentral:lncRNA from 1 species
UCAAAAAGUCCACCUUUUUUUAUCUUUUAUUUUCUUUGCAGUAUGAGACUAACGAAAAGGAAUCAUUCCUAUGUACAUAUAUAUAUAUACACGUCAUAAGUCCUUCAAUGUAACCAUCAUAUUUCACUAUGUAUCUUAAUACACUUAAAUACUUGUAUGAACAAACCAAUAGGGCUAAAUUGCUAUGGUCAUGACCUUGUCGACAUCAAGUGAAGAGGGGGAGAAAAAAAGGAAUUUAUGAUGAUUGAAUUUAACCCUGAAUGAAGGCCAAGAAAGAUCAUCAUGAUAAUGAGAAAUUCAAUGCAGGAUCCUUAUAGUUUAUGCGUCCAAAUAUAUGUAUAUUGGUGAUGGUAUGGUAAUGGGUUGUACCGCAGUUCAGUUCGGUACGCUUUUACCAUCGGUGAGCGUACCAAAUGGCGUAGCGUGAAUGGUGUACCUCAGUUCGUACCCAGCCGUGGGUUUAACGUACUGUCCCAGCCCUAAUGAGUAUGUAACCCUAAGCAUCACAUACAGUUCCACGUUCUACUCCAUGAUCGUCAUUUUCAAUACAAUAAUCGGAUUAGUGGAAUUGGAGCAUUGAGGCGUUGAAUGAGCCCUGAACGCUAGAUUUAACAGAAUUAAAUAUUUUGAUGUGGGCUCUUUGUUUCUUUCAUUCCAAAAAAAAUAUAUAUAUUAUCAUGUAUACAUAUUGUAUGGCAUACAAAGAUUUCAAGGAGGUUGAUCAAUGAUCACUGAGAGGAAGAGAAAAGAGAGAGAGGGGAAUGACGUAACAAUAUAUCUUGUAUUCGAAUAUGAUUAGAGAUGGAAUUCGUGUAAGAGCGAGGAAAAGAGAGGACGGAGACAUAUAGUACGAUCAAUUAAGCCCCUUUUUAAUAUCA